UACGAGGGGGCAAGUGUUGUUCGGAAUCACUGGGCGUAAAGGGAGCGUAGGCGGGCUUUUAAGUUAGGUGUUUAAUCCCGGGGCCCAACCCCGGACCGGCACCUAAAACUGGGAGUCUUGAAUAGUGGAGAGGUCAGUGGAAUUGGGGUGUAGCGGUGGAAUGCGUAGAGAUCCCCAAGAACACCAGUUGCGAAGGCGGCUGACUGGACACAUAUUGACGCUGAGGCUCGAAAGCAUGGGGAGCAAACAGG
rnacentral:rRNA from 1 species